rnacentral:snRNA from 1 species
UGCUUUGCGCAGUGGCGGUAUCGUAGCCAAUGAGGUUUAUCCAAGGCCUGAUUAUUGCUAAUUAAAAACUUUUCCCAAUACCCUGCCAUGACAACUUGCAAUAUAGUCAGCAUUGGGAAUUUUUGACAAUCCCUACGGGGA